AAGUAAUUUAGUUUCCUUUUGCUUUCCCCUUUCACACUCAACUAGUAAGCUAUGGGGAUGACUGACUAUAUAUUACUAGAUGAAUCAACAUAAGGAGAACUAAUAUUAUCAAAAUUAAUGUCUAUUUAAGGAUUGUCAAGCUAUGGUGGCUUAGCUUGAACAUCAGUUUCAAUUGGAUAGACUUUCUACUCCUAGAUUAUGGUAUUAUUGUUAGGUUUUACUUGUAAUGUCCCUUUACUUUUGAUUACUUGUUACGACAUGAUGACCUUUUUCUCAGCUCGUGUUUUAUCAUUUAUUACAACUAAUGAUGGGCUCAAUGCAAGCUUUGUCCAUAGUGAUUAAGAAGGCAUCAGCCAAUAAUUUUACUGAUUCUGCUGUUCUUCACCUCUUGCAAAGCUAGGUAUGAGUUACAUAGCCACUAUCAUUUAAAAAGGCUAAUAUCAACAGCUUUAUCAGUUGCUUAGUAUUCGUAUUUGUUGAAAAAAUGUUUCCUUCUCCUGGCGAAGGCCAUGGCUGGUGACCAUGCAGUCAGGUUGCUGUUGGAAAAUAUGACACAAUGCACAAGAACGACAUAUCUUGGAAUGUCAGAGAGGUUAAUGCCAUAUCAAUUACAAUGUUAUGCACAAGAAGCCCUCGCUCGCUCACGAACCUUUGUCAAUUGUGGCUGGCUUCCAAAUAUGCAUACUGGUGUUCUGUAGUAUGGCUGAAUGGUCAUAAUAUCAAAUUUAGCUUAUGUGAACAUUACGAAAAGUUUAAACCCUCUUAUUUUCAUCUUCAU
rnacentral:lncRNA from 1 species